AGUGCCAGCUAGAUAGUUGCUGCUGCUAUAUGUAGCAGAGGAAAGUCCGGGCUCCAUAGAGCAAAAUGCCAGGUAACGCCUGGGCAACGAAAGUUGACGGAAAGUGCCACAGAAAAUAAACCGCCAGUUAUGGUAAGGGUGAAAAGGUGCGGUAAGAGCGCACCGCCUGUUAGGCAACUAACAGGGCAGGGUAAACCCCAUUUGGAGCAAGGCCAAGUAGGCAUCAAUGCGUUUGCAACACAUCGCUCGUGUGGUAGAUGUGGGUUGGCUGCUUAAGGGUUAUGGCGACAUAACUCUCAGAUAAAUAACUAUCCCAGACAGAACCCGGCUUAUCGGCUGGCUAUUUUU
rnacentral:RNase_P_RNA from 1 species